rnacentral:rRNA from 1 species
AGUGAACGCUGGCGGUAGGCCUAACACAUGCAAGUCGAACGGCAGCACAGUAAGAGCUUGCUCUUACGGGUGGCGAGUGGCGGACGGGUGAGGAAUACAUCGGAAUCUACUUUUGCGUGGGGGAUAACGUAGGGAAACUUACGCUAAUACCGCAUACGACGUACGGGUGAAAGCAGGGGAUCUUCGGACCUUGCGCGAUUGAAUGAGCCGAUGUCGGAUUAGCUAGUUGGCGGGGUAAAGGCCCACCAAGGCGACGAUCCGUAGCUGGUCUGAGAGGAUGAUCAGCCACACUGGAACUGAGACACGGUCCAGACUCCUACGGGAGGCAGCAGUGGGGAAUAUUGGACAAUGGGCGAAAGCCUGAUCCAGCCAUACCGCGUGGGUGAAGAAGGCCUUCGGGUUGUAAAGCCCUUUUGUUGGGAAAGAAAAGCAGCAGGUUAAUACCCCGCUGUUCUGACGGUACCCACAGAAUAAGCACCGGCUAACUUCGUG